UACAGAGGUCCCGCGCGUUGUUCGGAUUUAUUGGGCGUAAAGGGUGCGUAGGCGGCGGAGUAAGUUGGGUGUGAAAUCCCGGGGCUUAACCUCGGAAUUGCAUUCAAUACUGCUUCGCUUGAGUACUGGAGAGGAGGCUGGAAUUUACGGUGUAGCAGUGAAAUGCGUAGAUAUCGUAAGGAAGGCCGGUGGCGAAAGCGAGCCUCUGGACAGUUACUGACGCUGAUGCACGAAGGCCAGGGGAGCAAACGGG
rnacentral:rRNA from 1 species